UACGUAGGGUGCGAGCGUUAAUCGGAAUUACUGGGCGUAAAGCGUGCGCAGGUGGCGUCGCAAGUCAGGCGUGAAAGCCCCGGGCUUAACCUGGGAAUUGCGCUUGAAACUACGGUGCUAGAGUACGGCAGAGGGAGGUGGAAUUCCACGUGUAGCGGUGAAAUGCGUAGAGAUGUGGAGGAACACCGAUGGCGAAGGCAGCCUCCUGGGCCGAUACUGACGCUGAGGUGCGAAAGCGUGGGGAGCAAACAGG
rnacentral:rRNA from 1 species